GAUGAACGCUAGCGGCAGGCCUAACACAUGCAAGUCGAGGGGGAAGUUACUUUCGGGUGGCUGAGACCGGCGUACGGGUGCGUAACGCGUAUACAAUCUGCCUUUCACUGGGGGAUAGCCCGAAGAAAUUUGGAUUAAUACCCCAUAGUAUAUAGGGACGGCAUCGUUUUUAUAUUAAAGCUUAGGUGGUGAAAGAUGAGUAUGCGUUCUAUUAGCUAGUUGGAGAGGUAACGGCUCCCCAAGGCGAUGAUAGAUAGGGGUUCUGAGAGGGAUGUCCCCCACACUGGUACUGAGAUACGGACCAGACUCCUACGGGAGGCAGCAGUGAGGAAUAUUGGACAAUGGUCGGAAGACUGAUCCAGCCAUGCCGCGUGCAGGAUGAAGGUCUUAUGGAUUGUAAACUGCUUUUGUAAGGGAAGAAUAAGGGCUACGCGUAGUUUGAUGACGGUACCUUACGAAUAAGCAUCGGCUAACUCCGUG
rnacentral:rRNA from 1 species